rnacentral:rRNA from 1 species
GAGUGAACGCUGGCGGUAGGCCUAACACAUGCAAGUCGAACGGCAGCACAGUAAGAGCUUGCUCUUACGGGUGGCGAGUGGCGGACGGGUGAGGAAUACAUCGGAAUCUACUUUUUCGUGGGGGAUAACGUAGGGAAACUUACGCUAAUACCGCAUACGACCUACGGGUGAAAGCAGGGGAUCUUCGGCCCUUGCGCGAUUGAAGGAGCCGAUGUCGGAUUGGCUAGUUGGCGGGGUAAAGGCCCACCAAGGCGACGAUCCGUAGCUGGUCUGAGAGGAUGAUCAGCCACACUGGAACUGAGACACGGUCCAGACUCCUACGGGAGGCAGCAGUGGGGAAUAUUGGACAAUGGGCGCAAGCCUGAUCCAGCCAUACCGCGUGGGUGAAGAAGGCCUUCGGGUUGUAAAGCCCUUUUGUUGGGAAAGAAAAGCAGCAGGUUAAUACCCCGCUGUUCUGACGGUACCCAAAGAAUAAGCACCGGCUAACUUCGUG